GAGAGAACUGAACACCAGGUCAGAGAGAGAGAACUGAACACCAGGUCAGAGAGAGAGAACUGAACGCCAGGUCAGGGAGAGAACUGAACACCAGGUCAGAGAGAGAGAACUGAACACCAGGUCAGAGAGAGAGAACUGAACACCAGGUCAGAGAGAGAGAACUGAACACCAGGUCAGAGAGAGAGAACUGAACACCAGGUCAGAGAGAGAGAACUGAACA